rnacentral:rRNA from 1 species
CGUAGGGUGCGAGCGUUAAUCGGAAUUACUGGGCGUAAAGUGUGCGCAGGCGGCGCCGCAAGUCGAGUGUGAAAGCCCCGGGCUUAACUUGGGAAUUGCGCUCGAAACUAUGGUGCUGGAGUGUGGCAGAGGAAGGUGGAAUUCCAGGUGUAGCGGUGAAAUGCGUAGAGAUCUGGAGGAACACCGAUGGCGAAGGCAGCCUUCUGGGCCAACACUGACGCUCAUGCACGAAAGCGUGGGGAGCAAACAGGAUUAGAUACCCUGGUAGUCCACGCCCUAAACGAUGAUGACUAGUUGUUGGAGGAGUUAAAUCCUUUAGUAACGCAGCUAACGCGUGAAGUCAUCCGCCUGGGGAGUACGGUCGCAAGAUUA